rnacentral:rRNA from 1 species
UACGUAGGGUGCGAGCGUUGUCCGGAAUUAUUGGGCGUAAAGAGCUCGUAGGCGGUCUGUCGCGUCGGUCGUGAAAACCCGGGGCUCAACUCCGGGCUUGCGGGCGAUACGGGCAGGCUAGAGUUCGGUAGGGGAGACUGGAAUUCCUGGUGUAGCGGUGAAAUGCGCAGAUAUCAGGAGGAACACCGGUGGCGAAGGCGGAUCUCUGGGCCAUAACUGACGCUGAGGAGCGAAAGCAUGGGGAGCGAACAGG